rnacentral:misc_RNA from 1 species
AAUAUGUGGAAACAUUCCCUCAAUAAUUUCUCCAUCACGCUUACAAUUCGAAGUAUUAUCAUUAAUGACGUGCACCACUUUUUUAAAACCAACCUCAUCAAUUACUUCCUUUAGCAAAUUAGCAAUGAAUUGCUUAUCUUUCACUUUACCAAAACAAUCUACAGAUUUGAUAAACAUAAGGCCAAACUCAAAAAAAACCAUAAAAUUAAUUAAAGGUCUCCUCUGAGAAUCACUCUAUCCAUCACUCACAAUACUAAUACCCUUUCUUAACCAAGUGCUUUUAAUUGGUUCAAGCAACCUCUCUACAUUUGCUUUUUCUUGCUGAAGUAAUGUGGUUCUCAAUUUUUUUAUAACCAGGCGGCACAUAACCAUCCAAAACAUGAUUAGCAGCAAAAG